rfam:Oryza barthii chromosome 4, whole genome shotgun sequence.
AAAUAGACAAAACUUGAUUUUCGUGUCCAACGUUUGACCGUUCGUCUUAUUUAAAAAAAUUAUAAAAAAAAUUAAAAAGAUAAGUCACGUAUAAAGUAUUAAUCAUAUUUUAUCAUCUAACAACAAUGAAAAUACUAAUUAUAAAAAAAUUUCAUAUAAGACGGACAGUCAAACGUUGGUAUGGAAACCCACGGUUUGCCUUUUU